CAACUUCUUGAUAUUGAUGCCGCAACAACAUACGUACACGUGUGACAACUAGUGGUUUCUUCAAACUGAUUAGCGACUGAAAAUUUUGAGUUCUAGACUGACUGUGGGUUGAUCCUGGGAAGAAAGAAGAAUGGUUUUUGGCUUGAUUGGUUUUGAUACUUGAUGCAAGCUCAGUGCGUGAAAGGCAAGAGAGCUGGGGCUAUUGGAUUGGGGACUACGACUGCAACUUUAGCUGGGUUUUAGUCUAGAUCUGCCACCACGGGGUUGAACUAUGAGAAGAGGCUGGUCCGUGGAUGUUAAGGGCGGAGUGUUUAUGACGGAGGCUUAACUAGGCAGAUGGUGUUGAAUCUGGUUAUGAGGGCAGGAGACAAUGGCUAUUGGCUUGUUCUUGGGUGAUGGAGUAGUGAAGCGUUCUGUGGUAAAGGAAUUAAGGGUUUGCAGUGUGGGUUAAAGGUUGGCUUAUUGGAAGAGGAGGUGUUGUGUGAAGCUUUGGUAUUUUGGAUUUUUGGUUGAAAUGGUUGAUGGGAACAAAGAAGACUAAGGUUGGGUUUAGCUUUGAAGAAGAUGGAGAUGAAGGAUAUGGUCUUGUGAUGAGGGUCGUUGCUGUCACAAUGUAAAACGCAAAGGGAGAGAGGGGGAGGAAGAGAAAGUUAUGUUAUGGUUGGCUUUGAUUGGGAUGCUGUCAGUGGUGGCCGGUGGCUGAGUUAGGCGGCAAUGGUGACUUCACGGUGAGAAGAUGGGUGUAUGGUGAUUUUGGUGGCACUGUUAUGGUAGAGGAAUGGACGCAAGACUAUGAAUACUUACGAGUUCAUAUCUAUUCUGG